CAGACAACAUGGCCUUCAGCAAUGCUGAUUCGGGCUUUGCUGAGGCCCAGCUGGUGCUGACCCACCAGGACCUCCUCUCUGGCAGUAUCAUGGCCACGGAUGAGCCCAUGCAGCCCAUCUGCCGCUUCAUCCAGGAGGGGCCUCAGGAAGAGGCGAGUCCUGUUCACACACUCAGGCUGACCACGGCUGGAUCCCGCUGCAGGUGUCCGAUGGGCAGCACCAGGCCAUCACGGUGCUGGAGGUGCAGGCCUUGGAGCCUUACCUCUGUGUGGCCAAUGGCUCCGGCCUCAUGGUUCCUCAAGGAGGCCAGGGUACCAUCAACAUGGCCGAGCUCCACCUGGGCACCAACCUCAACAUCUGCAGUAGGGAUGAGGCCCACUACCAUGUCACAGACAGCCCUCACUGGGGACAGUUGCUCCAAGCCACUCAGCCAGCCACAGCCUUCUCUCAGCAGGACCUGCUGGUUGGGGCUGUUCUCUAUGGCCACAAUGGCAGCCUCAGCUCCCGCAACACCCUGGCCUUCUCAAUGGAUGUGGGACCACACACAGAUGCCACCCUACAAGUGACCAUUGCCCUAGAGGGCCCAGUAGCCCCACUGAAGCUGGCCCAGCACAAGAAAAUCUACAUCUUCCAGGGAGAGGCAGCUGAGAUCAGAAGGGACCAGCUGGAG
rnacentral:sRNA from 1 species